GCCGAGCUCAGUUACGAGAGCUUGUAACCCGAGUGGGGGCAUUAAGGUGAUGUGGACGCUGUUGUAGCGCUGCGGGCCUGGUCCGGGUGUGCUACUGCAGGCCCGCCCGUUCCAAGUUGCGUAGUGGACCGCUGGGGCCUAUGCGAAAGCUGGGCCUCACGGUCCAUAAUGUGGCAGGCACAGCGUGAGGCUGGCUUCACAGAGCAGCGACAACUGCCCGCUUCCAACGGUGGAAGGAUAACGGGCCGCUGCACUCCUUGGCCGCUUGGGCCUCGCAGCCUACUCCAGUGAACCAUCACUUUU
rnacentral:SRP_RNA from 1 species